UAUAAAACCUUACAACAUGCUAACAAGAAAAUUCAAAUAAAACUCGCAUCAAAUUGCUAAUUGAAUACACAUACAUAAUAACAACGCUAUUCAAAAACUAUAUACUCUGCGUUGACACC